rnacentral:rRNA from 1 species
UCGGGCACUCUAACGAGGACUGCCGGUGGUAAGCCGGAGGAAGGUGGGGAUGACGUCAAAUCCUCAUGGCCCUUAUGCCCAGGGCUACACACGUACUACAAUGGUCGGGUACAAAGGGCUGCGACCCCGCGAGGGUGAGCCAAUCCCAAAAGCCGACCUCAGUUCGGAUUGUAGUCUGCAACUCGACUACAUGAAGGUGGAAUCGCUAGUAAUCGCGGAUCAGCAUGCCGCGGUCGAAUACGUUCCCGGGCCUU